rnacentral:rRNA from 1 species
AAAUUGAAGAGUUUGAUCAUGGCUCAGAUUGAACGCUGGCGGCAGGCUUAACACAUGCAAGUCGAACGGUAGCAGGAAGGAAGCUUGCUUUCUUUGCUGACGAGUGGCGGACGGGUGAGUAAUGCUUGGGGAUCUGGCUUAUGGAGGGGGAUAACGACGGGAAACUGUCGCUAAUACCGCGUAAUGUCUAAGGACUAGAGGGUGGGACUUUCGGGCCACCUGCCAUAAGAUGAGCCCAAGUGGGAUUAGGUAGUUGGUGGGGUAAAGGCCUACCAAGCCGACGAUCUCUAGCUGGUCUGAGAGGAUGACCAGCCACACUGGAACUGAGACACGGUCCAGACUCCUAC